UAAAGUUAAUAAGGGCGUACGGCGGAUGCCUUGGCGAUAUCAGCCGAAGAAGGACGCGGUAAGCUGCGAUAAGCUACGGAGAGGUGCAAGCAACCUUUGACCCGUAGAUUUCCGAAUGGGGGAACCCGGCAGUGGUUAUGCACUGUCACCCAUACCUUUGAGUAUGAGGAGGGCACCUGGGGAACUGAAACAUCUAAUUACCCAGAGGAAGAGUAAUCAAACGAGAUUUUCUUAGUAGCGGCGAGCGAACGGGAAAGAGGCCAAACCGGAGCGGGCAACCGCACCGGGGUUGAGGACAGUCAUCAAGUGUAAAUGAGGUAGAAGAAUCGAGUUGGAAAGCUCAGCCGCAGAAGGUGAAAGCCCUGUAAUCGAAACCUUGCAUACAUGGGACUGUAUCCAGAGUACCACGAGACACGUGAAACCUUGUGGGAAGCAGGGGGGACCACCCUCCAAGCCAAAAUACUGAUAUCGACCGAUAGCGCAUAGUACCGUGAGGGAAAGGUGAAAAGAACCCCUGGCGGGGAGUGAAAGAGAACCUGAAACCGUAUGUCUACAAACAGUCGAAGUCUGUAUAUAUAUCAGGACGACGGCGUGCCUAUUGAAGAAUGAACCGACGAGUUACUGUUGCUAGCGAGGUUAAGUGGAAAACAUGGAGCCGCAGCGAAAGCGAGUCUGAACAGGGCGUUCAGUUAGUAAUAGUAGACCCGAAACCGUAGUGAUCUAUCCAUGGCCAGGUUGAAGCACAGGUAAAAUUGUGUGGAGGACCGAACUCGUGAGCGUUGAAAAGCUUUGGGAUGAGUUGUGGAUAGGGGUGAAAUGCCAAUCGAACACGGAGAUAGCUGGUUCUCCCCGAAAUAGCUUUAGGGCUAGCCUCGAGGUUGAGAGUAUAGGCGGUAGAGCACUGAUCGGGCUAGGGGCCAUACCGGUUACCGAACCUAGUCAAACUACGAAUGGCUAUACUUAUACUCGGGAGUCAGACAGUGAAUGAUAAGGUCCAUUGUCAAGAGGGAAACAGCCCAGAACACCGACUAAGGUCCCAAAUGUUACACUAAGUGGCGAAGGAUGUGGAAUUUCCAAAACAACCAGGAUGUUGGCUUAGAAGCAGCCACCAUUUAAAGAGUGCGUAAUAGCUCACUGGUCGAGAGACUCUGCGCCGAAAAUGUCCGGGGCUAAAGUGUAAAACCGAAGUCGUGUCAUAUGCAGCAAUGUAUAUGGGUAGGGGAGCGUUCUCAUCGGGCUGAAGCAGUACCGUAAGGAGUUGUGGACUGAUGAGAAGUGAGAAUGUCGGUAUGAGUAGCGAAAAGAAUGGUGAGAAUCCAUUCCACCGAAAGCCUAAGGGUUCCUGAGCAACGAUCGUCGUCUCAGGGUAAGUCGGGACCUAAGCCGAGGCGGAGACGCAUAGGCGAUGGACAACAGGUUGAAAUUCCUGUACCGGAUACAAUCGUUUGAGCGAUGGAGCGACGCAGAAAGGCAUAUGAUCGCGCGACUGGAAGAGCGCGUCCAAGUGCGUAUGUUGAAUCGGAGGCAAAUCCCUGAUUCUAAAAGCAGAGACACGAUGGGGAGUUAUACGAAAGUAUGACGAACUCAUAGAUCCUACACUGCCAAGAAAAACUUCUAGUGAGAAAGUAUCCGCCCGUACCGUAAACCGACACAGGUAGGCGGGGAGAGAAUCCUAAGGUGCGCGGGAAAACCCUCGUUAAGGAACUCGGCAAAUUGCAUCCGUAACUUAGGGAGAAGGAUGACCUUAAGUAAGCGAAAGGGAGAAACCCCUGGAACAGAACAAGGUGGCAGAAAAGAGGCCCAAGCAACUGUUUACCAAAAACACAGGUGCCUGCGAAAGCGAAAGCUGAAGUAUAGGUGCUGACGCCUGCCCGGUGCUGGAAGGUUAAGGAGAGAUGUCAGAGCAAUCGAAGCAUUGAACUGAAGCCCCAGUGAACGGCGGCCGUAACUAUAACGGUCCUAAGGUAGCGAAAUUCCUUGUCGGGUAAG
rnacentral:rRNA from 1 species